rnacentral:lncRNA from 1 species
GCGCGCCCGCCUCGCCGCGGCCCCCGGGUGGGGGCGUCCACGGCCCGGGUUCCCGGCGGGCUUGGGGCAGGGACGCAGUCCGGAGAUUCCGGGACUGCCCGGCUGCUGCAGCCCGCAGGCUCCUCUCUCCUCCCCGCUUCCCCUCCGCACUGCCUGGGCUAAAGGCGGCCAAGCUGAGGCUCCGAAAGAAAAGGCAGGGGGACAUCCCAGAUGCCGUUGAGUAGGCUGAGAUGGUUUGGAGACUCAUCCUCGCCGGAGGUCCUGCAAGCCACUGAAGUGGCACAGACGCGUGUGCGCGGAGUGGGGCGGUGUGUCGGGCCACAGGCCAAGCCCAAGUCGGCCUCCCAGAGUGUUUGCCACGGUUUGGGCGGAGGGAAAAUUGCAACCCUUGCCUACAACCAGACUGACAGCAUAAUUUCUUAGGAAUCAAGAAUCAAUACAGGGUUAUUUCUUUAGAUUAAACCUUAAAAGCCCCCUUGGAGGCUGAAGAAGCAGAGGAUAGCCAUGCAUACACUUGAACGUGAAAAAUGGUCCUCUUUCAUUGGAGAGGUCUUCCUCUUCAGCUAAACCGACAGAGUGGUGAAAAGAAGAAGGGACCCCUUGUUGACCAAAAUAAUCCAGACAAAUCAAAUCGGCCCUUUCCAGCAAGGAGUGGAACAGCCCAAGGGUGGCUAGAUCACAUCUUCUGCUCACACCACCACUGAGCAACCCUCUCCAGGACUGCCACCUAUGCAUAGGUCAUGCCCUGUGCAAGAGCACAUAAAGUGGGAGCUGAAGUCCUGCCCAGGCUCCAUUCACCAAGCAGAGCUUAUGUUGUUGUGUGUCUGUGUCUACCCAGAGGAUGUGGGUCCUUUUUAAAAUGUGCACCAAUGCAUCUUGUAUGAGCUGGCACCAGCUCGGACCAUCCCACCCUCAUACCCUGGUCCUAUCCAGGGUUAUAUUCCCUACUUUAGAAGAAUUAAUUAUUUUUAUGAACGUAUUUAGUUUAUUGUAAAAAAUGAAAUAUAUGACACAAAUUGAAAUUAAUUUCAGAGGUAAAGGUCAGAAUAUUACCAUGUAUGUGAAUUAUGUUUGUAUGUAUAUGUAUAUAUCAAGAGAGUUAUAUGAAUAUACAUUUUUGUGUAUCAGAAGUGAGGACAAUUUAACUUUGUUAAGUGUUUGAAAUAAAAUUAUUUUGAGUUUUGGA